UUUAGAAACGUCAUAGGUGGUCCCUGUGCUUUCAAAACUUUUGAUAGUUGGUCCUUAUCCCUAACUCCGUUAAGUUUUAUCUGUUAACUGCAACGCAUUUUCAUCAUUUCAAUACCAUAGGGACCGUUUAUGAUGUUUUCUCAAAAAUGAAAUAAUAUGCAAGGGUCUCUCUCUCAUUGACUGUCAAAGUCCUCCAUAGGAGGAGCUCAUUUCUAUAAAAACAAGAGGGACAUCAAAAAUGUUUUCCUUCUUCUCUACCUAUCAAUCAAAGCAAAUAAACAGCCCCCUGAAUACCAUUGAUGCUGGUCCUUCUUCUUCCAUCCCAUAGGCCAUGACAACCUUUCUCCUUCUCUUAUUUCUUUCUAUUUCGAUGCACAACCAAGAACACCUCCAUUGGAGGUGGUUUUCUUAUGGGUACCUGGUAAGCUCAGGAGCAGCAACCCUUCCAUUAUAUCUUCUAUUUUCCCAUGUGAACUCAAGAAACAACCCAAGCAAACCCAAACACCCAAAUUAUUCCUAUCAAACAGUCAAACGAAAGGAAAACGGAAGAGAACCAAUUACCGAUCGGAGCAAAACCCCUUAAGUCGCGAUCUACUAAACCCCCGAGACCAUUCCUCCUCCAAUUGGAGAAGCACAAUCCCAAACACCCCAUUGAUCGGCGUUUGCAGCCACCCUCCUCCUUACUGUUUUGUUGCAAGAAGUAUCUGAGAAAGAACCCAAGAAGAACAGUCGGAGGUACCGACUGCUAUCACCUUCACGACCCCACGCGUUUCCCCGAUCAGAACCACCCAACCCACCCUAAAAAUUUACUGAUGUUAUUAUUGCUCUCUGUCGGCUCGUUACCGGCAAAGAAGCAAAAGGGAUCAAGAGGAGCUCACCAGAGAAGUCGAUUCCCCCUCCUCAUGACCGUAUAACCCUCAUCAAGCCAUUGUCGUUGGCUUCCUGCUUCCGAUCUUGCUCUUUUCUUAGAUCUAUCUUUGAACUGCUGUUUCUUCCUGUGGAUUGUGACCAUCGACAGCGUGAGAGAAACCUUGGAGGCUCACCAGGAUUUUGCCCAUUCUCCCUGCUGCUCCGUUUGCCUCUUCCUUGUCCCGAUCAAUUAUGGAUGGAGACAUGGUCCCCUGUGAUCAUGAAAAGAUGAAAAUGCCCUUUAGUUAACGGACAAACAUAAUGGAGUUACUAAUAAGGACCAUCUGUCAAAACUUCUGUAAGCACAGGGACCAUCUAUGAGGUUUUUAAACCACGGUGACUAAACUUUAGAUUUUCGGAAACCACAAGGACCAUUUAUGAUGUUUUUUUCUUAAUAAUAUACUAAUAUAAUAUUUAUUAAUAUAUAAAUAUUAUAUAUUAAAAAUAAAAUUAACUGAUAUAUAAUAAUCAGAUAAAAAAUUAAUCCAAUAAAAAAAUUUAAAAAAGAAUUAAUAUAUAAUAGUUCAAUAAAAGAAAGAAAAAUUAAUAUAAAAUAAUUUAAUAAAUUUAAAAAGAAGAAUUGCAAAAAUGGUCCUUGUAAUUUGGUAAAAAGAGAUAACUGCAAAAAUAGUACCUAAGGGUAAAAUUGUCAUUUUAAAAAAGUUAACAGCCAAAUGCUAAAGUUAACGAAAUAGAGACCUAAACCACAACUAAACCACCAAAUAACAACCUUUUUUGCUAAUAAUUUUUUUUUUAGAUCUUACCCAAAGAAAUUGGCAAACCACAGGACACUUUUUCAAUUUUGUUCAAUAAAAUUUACACUAAAAUAUUAAAAAAAAAACUAUUGUGUGAUAUCCAUUUCUUGGUUUUUUUUUUAUAUAUAUUACGAAAAAAUAUAUAUAUCCACAAACAAGUUGCAUUAGUUUUAGAAGACAAAUUCAAUAAUUGAGUUUAAUACCUGUGAUUUCAUUGGAGUCGGCGAUUGUUAAACCUAAACAAAAACACCCACAAAAGAACUCAACGCAAGUGGGGGAGAAGGAGAUAAAAACCAUUUAAGCAUAGAUAAAACAAAAACAUUGAUUGGGGCUUCUUGCUUAUCAUUUGCAAGUUUGACAAUAGCAAGAUUGGUUGUAUGUUGGGCUUAAUCAAUAAAAAAAAUAAUUUUCAAACAUCACCUCAUAAUGCCCGUUUGAGUAGUUCAAAUCACCCUAUGAAGAGUUAAAAAGAACACACCUUUAGACAACAAAUUAGUGAAGAAAUCAAGAAUACAUGAAUAAAGAGAAAUGGGUGAUGGGAGAAUUUUAUUAUGUGAACUAACCCUACCAACAUGAUGAGAUUAAGGAGCAAAAUCAAAAUAACUUACCUCAUCUAAGGAGUCGCAGAGCCAAUCCAUUAUUGGAACACCUUCAAGAAACCUAACCCAAAAAUAAGCAAUUCACAGAAACUGAUCUGGAAUAAGGGCGUCGACGGUCGACCAAUAAUUUCAAGCCAUGCAGUCUCCUGAAAAAAACAUAGCAUCCACCACAGCUGAAAACCCACAUGAUUUGUUACUCGACUCCAGCGAUGUUGUUAGAUGCACGCGACUCAGCUGCCUAGACCGCUGCAACGUCAGCUGUCCCGAGCUAGAAAAGAAUCGUAUGCCUUCAAGAACCGUAGUAAUGGAGCAUCAGGAGUACUGUCGGCAACGUCAGCUGUCUUGGUUAUAUGUGAACAGCUAAAAGAAGAUGUUAGAGAAUCAAAGAUACAACUAUUUUUCC
rnacentral:lncRNA from 1 species